rnacentral:rRNA from 1 species
GAGUUUGAUCCUGGCUCAGAAUCAACGCUGGCGGCGUGCCUAAUACAUGCAAGUCGAACGCGAAAGUGGAGCAAUCCAUGAGUAGAGUGGCAAACGGGUGAGUAACGCGUGGGUGACCUGCCUUCUGAGCGGGGGAUAACGUCCCGAAAGGGACGCUAAUACCGCAUAACAUGCCGCCUUUUAACAGGUGGACAUCAAAGCUGGGGAUCGCAAGACCUAGCACUUGAAGAGGGGCCCGCGUCUGAUUAGCUAGUUGGUGGGGUAAUGGCUCACCAAGGCAACGAUCAGUAUCCGGCCUGAGAGGGCGGACGGACACACUGGGACUGAGACACGGCCCAGACUCCUACGGGAGGCAGCAGUGGGGAAUUGUUCGCAAUGGGCGCAAGCCUGACGACGCAACGCCGCGUGGAGGAUGAAGACCUUCGGGUCGUAAACUCCUUUCGAUCGAGACGAAUGGCCUCCGGGUGAACAAUCCGGAGGAGUGACGGUACCGAGAGAAGAAGCCCCGGCUAACUCCGUGCCAGCAGCCGCGGUAAUACGGGGGGGGCAAGCGUUGUUCGGAAUUACUGGGCGUAAAGAGUUGCGUAGGUGGCAGAGUAAGCGGACAGUGAAAGCGUGUGGCUCAACUAUACAUACAUUGUCUGAACUGCUCAGCUAGAGAGUGAGAGAGGUAGUUGGAAUUCCCAGUGUAGGAGUGAAAUCCGUAGAUAUUGGGAGGAACACCGAUGGCGUAGGCAGACUACUGGCUCAUUUCUGACACUAAGGCACGAAAGCGUGGGGAGCGAACGGGAUUAGAUACCCCGGUAGUCCACGCCGUAAACUAUGGAUGCUAGCUGUUAUUCGUAUCGACCCGAGUAGUAGCGAAGCUAACGCGUUAAGCAUCCCGCCUGUGGAGUACGGUCGCAAGACUAAAACAUAAAGGAAUUGACGGGGACCCGCACAAGCGGUGGAGCGUGUUGUUUAAUUCGAUGGUAAGCGAAGAACCUUACCAGGGCUUGACAUCCUGCUAAUUUCUCCGAAAGGAGAGAGUGCCUUCGGGCCGCAGUGACAGGUGUUGCAUGGCCGUCGUCAGCUCGUGUCGUGAGAUGUUUGGUUAAGUCCAUCAACGAGCGCAACCCUUGUGAUUAGUUGAAUUUUUCUAAUCAGACUGCCCCGGCAACGGGGAGGAAGGAGGGGAUGAUGUCAGGUCAGUAUUACCCUUACGCCCUGGGCUACAAACACGCUACAAUGGCCGGUACAAAGGGCAGCCAAGUCGCAAGACGGAGCAAAUCCCAUCAAAGCCGGUCUCAGUUCGGAUUGCAGGCUGAAACCCGCCUGCAUGAAGCUGGAAUCGCUAGUAACGGUAGGUCAGCACACUACCGUGAAUACGUUCCCGGGUCAUUGUACACAC